GCGCUUUCGGGUGUCGCUGAUGGAUGGACCCGCGGUGCAUUAGCUAGUUGGUGAGGUAACGGCUCACCAAGGCGACGAUGCAUAGCCGACCUGAGAGGGUGAUCGGCCACAUUGGGACUGAGACACGGCCCAAACUCCUACGGGAGGCAGCAGUAGGGAAUCUUCGGCAAUGGACGAAAGUCUGACCGAGCAACGCCGCGUGAGUGAAGAAGGUUUUCGGAUCGUAAAACUCUGUUGUUAGAGAAGAACAAGGAUGAGAGUAACUGUUCAUCCCUUGACGGUAUCUAACCAGAAAGCCACGGCUAACUACGUGCCAGCAGCCGCGGUAAUACGUAGGUGGCAAGCGUUGUCCGGAUUUAUUGGGCGUAAAGCGAGCGCAGGCGGUUUCUUAAGUCUGAUGUGAAAGCCCCCGGCUCAACCGGGGAGGGUCAUUGGAAACUGGGAGACUUGAGUGCAGAAGAGGAGAGUGGAAUUCCAUGUGUAGCGGUGAAAUGCGUAGAUAUAUGGAGGAACACCAGUGGCGAAGGCGGCUCUCUGGUCUGUAACUGACGCUGAGGCUCGAAAGCGUGGGGAGCAAACAGGAUUAGAUACCCUGGUAGUCCACGCCGUAAACGAUGAGUGCUAAGUGUUGGAGGGUUUCCGCCCUUCAGUGCUGCAGCUAACGCAUUAAGCACUCCGCCUGGGGAGUACGACCGCAAGGUUGAAACUCAAAGGAAUUGACGGGGGCCCGCACAAGCGGUGGAGCAUGUGGUUUAAUUCGAAGCAACGCGAAGAACCUUACCAGGUCUUGACAUCCUUUGACCACUCUAGAGAUAGAGCUUCCCCUUCGGGGGCAAAGUGACAGGUGGUGCAUGGUUGUCGUCAGCUCGUGUCGUGAGAUGUUGGGUUAAGUCCCGCAACGAGCGCAACCCUUAUUGUUAGUUGCCAUCAUUUAGUUGGGCACUCUAGCAAGACUGCCGGUGACAAACCGGAGGAAGGUGGGGAUGACGUCAAAUCAUCAUGCCCCUUAUGACCUGGGCUACACACGUGCUACAAUGGGAAGUACAACGAGUCGCAAAGUCGCGAGGCUAAGCUAAUCUCUUAAAGCUUCUCUCAGUUCGGAUUGUAGGCUGCAACUCGCCUACAUGAAGCCGGAAUCGCUAGUAAUCGCGGAUCAGCACGCCGCGGUGAAUACGUUCCCGGGCCUUGUACACACCGCCCGUCACACCACGAGAGUUUGUAACACCCGAAGUCGGUGAGG
rnacentral:rRNA from 1 species